rnacentral:rRNA from 1 species
GUAGGUGGCAAGCGUUGUCCGGAAUUAUUGGGCGUAAAGCGCGCGCGGGCGGUCCUUUAAGUCUGAUGUGAAAGCCCACGGCUCAACCGUGGAGGGUCAUUGGAAACUGGGGGACUUGAGUACAGAAGAGGAAAGCGGAAUUCCAAGUGUAGCGGUGAAAUGCGUAGAGAUUUGGAGGAACACCAGUGGCGAAGGCGGCUUUCUGGUCUGUAACUGACGCUGAGGCGCGAAAGCGUGGGGAGCAAACAGGAUUAGAUACCCUGGUAGUCCACGCCGUAAACGAUGAGUGCUAAGUGUUAGGGGGUUUCCCGCCCCCCUUAGUGCUGCAGCUAACGCAUUAAGCACUCCGCCUGGGGGAGUACGGCCGCAAGGCUG